rnacentral:lncRNA from 1 species
CCCCCCGGCACCCCCCCGGGCGACGGUGGGAGAUAAGAGGAACAUUUUUUUUCCGACUCUUUCAUUCUUGUUCUUGGUUGGUUCGCAUAGGAAUUGAGCUUUGGGUGGUAUUUUGCAAGAAAAUCUUGAGUAGAUUGGACUCAGUGGAGAGUCCCCGGUUUUUUAACCCAAACGAGGGUUUUUCCGACUAAACUUCUUGCGUUCUGUGUCUCUUAAACUCGUCCACAUAUCUUAUUUACUUGCGUAUGGUUUAUGCAUCCUAUGAAUUGUUAUUUGCUAUGUGUUAGAGACUAAGCCUACACUGCAUAUUAUGAACAAUGAACUGAAUUGUUGUUGACUAGGAUAACUUGUAGUGAACCAAGUUUGAUUUGUAGAUUUGCGUUUGAUCAACUGACGAAUCUAUACUUAGUUGACUGGUGAGCUUGACUACUAAAUUCAUCAUACUUUAAUCCAUAAUUGCUUUUUCAUUGUUGUUUGCAUGAUGGACUGAUAUGUAAACGUGUUCAAGUUUAGGAAUUAUUGUUGUGAAACUAAUAUGGGUUGACUCUGAUUAGUUGAACAUAUUAGUCAUUUAGGAUUUGUUCUUGCAUCUGCACUUUAUAUCACUAUGUUGAUGCACAAAACUGGAGGUCUUGGAACAACAUAAAUCCAACCGUGAAUCUGCAAGAAAAUAAAUAACACAAGAUGUAUCGUGGUUCACCCCAAUGUUUGGGCUACGUCCACACUGAUAUUGUAUUUCUCUCUUUGUGAGAGGAUUGUGAGGGUGAGAGCUUCCUAAUUGUGAAGGUGAGGAGUCCCUUUUAUAGAAUAAGGGCUCCUCACUUAUUACAUAUUUGCCCCUUCCUUUAUUACAUAAUUACAUUUGAGUCCCCAGAGUAUUUAUAGGAGAUCUAAAUACGGAGACCCUAAGUAUGGUACAAACAGUAGUCCCCCAAGUCUUCAGUCAAGAGGGUCUUUUGGCUGGAGACUUAAAAUUCAGUCCAUGUGUGGGCCGAAGUAACUAGAUGUCGUCUAGAACUGAUACUCGAUAUGAGGCGGUGCUCAAUGUGAAAUGAUGCUUAACUAGAAGUAGCACAUGUUGCGAGGCUGCUCGGCUUGUGGCUUAUAUUGCCUUGGUUGGCUCGGUUUGUGCCGUUGAAGGUGAGGGAGUCCCUUU